rnacentral:rRNA from 1 species
UACGAAGGGGGCUAGCGUUGCUCGGAAUUACUGGGCGUAAAGCGCACGUAGGCGGACUAUUAAGUCAGGGGUGAAAUCCCGGGGCUCAACCCCGGAACUGCCUUUGAUACUGGUAGUCUCGAGUCCGAGAGAGGUGAGUGGAAUUCCGAGUGUAGAGGUGAAAUUCGUAGAUAUUCGGAGGAACACCAGUGGCGAAGGCGGCUCACUGGCUCGGUACUGACGCUGAGGUGCGAAAGCGUGGGGAGCAAACAGG